CCCUUAGAUGUCCUGGGCUGCACGCGCGCUACACUGACACGUUCAACAAGUCUUACCUGCUCCGAUAGGACUGGGUAAUCUCUUAAAUGCGUGUCGUGAUGGGGAUAGAUUAUUGCAAUUAUUAAUCUUCAACGAGGAAUUCCUAGUAAGUGCAAGUCAUCAGCUUGUGCUGAUUACGUCCCUGCCCUUUGUACACACCGCCCGUCGCACCUACCGAUUGAAUGGUCCGGUGAAAUCUCGGGACGGCGGCUUGGUCGCUUGCGUCCGACUGCUGAAACUUGAUUAAACCAUAUCAUUUAGAGGAAGGUGAAGUCGUAACA
rnacentral:rRNA from 1 species